CGAAGUGCAGGGUCCUGCUCCCUCCGCCCCCCGGCCCAGGGGCAGUGCUGGGGCGCGGUGGUCCUGGCGCUCUGUGCCUCCGCGCCCCAGGAGGUGGGCGGCGUGGCCUCAGGCCCCGGCUCAGGCUCGCAGCCUCAGUGGACACCCAGGCGGAGGGAGAGGUUCGGAGGUGCCUGACCCCACAUUCUGCCCGGCACAGCCAGCCCCCUCGCCGUCCCCCACCCUAACCUCUUUAACCUCCCUAACCGCUCCCAGCCUCGGUUUCCUCAUCUGUUAACCAGUGAUUAGUCAUAUCUACCAUACGGCGUUGUUAGGAUUAAAAUAGAACAAUUAUAUAAUGCACCGUGCCCUCCGUAAAUGUGGUCCUCUCUCCCAUGUCCCCACUUCCUCCCUGCUCAGUCAGGCCGGGCUGAGUUAGGCCUGUCCCCCAUCACCAACUGGUCCCCAGGCCUGGACACGUGGACACCCUUGCCAGAGCCCGCCUCCCCCCUCCCUUCCCCCGGGGUUACCUUGAACCCCGCCUCAUGCCAGAGGAUGGUCCAACUUGUUGUCAGAACCUGCAGGAAUCCCAGGCUGAGGUCCAGGAAUAUUAACUGAGGGCCCAACCUGGCCAGGGUGAGUCAGCCGCCCAUGACCGUUACGGCUGCUCCAGCUGCCCGUCACAGCUUGGGCUGCAUAGUCGCCAGGAUGAGGCAGCCCCUGGAAGUUGCAGGGAAGAUCAGUGGGUCUUGAGGGUGGGAUUAGGAGCACAGGGGUUGGGGGGGCAGGAACGGGUUUUCAGUCUCCCUUCUCCUCCCUUAUGGGAACUGAGGCUUGGGACCAGGGGACCAGGGCACCCCGUGUGAGGAAGGGAGGGCCUGACUUACUGUAACUUCCUGGCUGAAAGCCUGAUUGUCCUGUGGUUGGGCUGCCCAGCCAGAGAGGCCCCUGGUGCAGGGAGGACUCGGGGAGAACUUGCCUGGCACUGCAUUGCAUUUCUAGGGCCCAGUGUGUGGGGGGUGGAGUGAGGGAGCUGUUGUCACUGACUUCCCUGGGGACAGUGAGUAGACCAGGUGGGCCUGCCUGCAAGGUGGCUGCGUCUUCCCAAAGCAAGGCAGGCCACUACCUAAAUGCCAAAUUAUUCACAAGAAAAGAAAGGCUGUCUAGGGGCUCAGCCCAUUCCCAAGGGCAUCAGAGCAGCUAGUGUUGACUGAGCACUCAUUAUGUACUAGGCAAUGCAGGCAUUUGCUCACCGAAUUGUCACAACCCUCCUGGAAAGUGGGGGCUGUUUUUAUACCCAUUGUACAGAUGGGGAGCUGAUUAGAGACCUGCCUGGAUCCCGCAGCUGCCAGGAGGCAAACUGGGGUGAAAACCCAUGCUCCCCAUUCCCACCCAGCUGGCUUCCUGAGCGUGGGAACCUACGUGGCCCGGAAGAGUAGCACAUGGCCCAGCUGACCGCCAGGUGCUGACCCCACCCCCUCUCCCCCACCGCAUGGGCACGGGCUUGCUCGGUACUCAGCUGACUUCCUGUCCCUGGAAGAGCAGCUGCCAGUAUGCCGGGGCAGGGCGGUCCCCUUCCUGUGGUUCAGCCCUAGGACACUGACACAACCACAGAGGACAGUCGAGGAAAACAAGAAGGAAACGCAUCCGGCACAUAAAGAGUUGGAAGAGACAAGGGGGGAGCAGGAAGGAACACUUCCUCAACUUCCUCCUCUAACCCGACAGGAAGCUGUGGACCUCGUGGCUGAGCCUUGGAAGAAGUGGCUACUUUCCUCCUAGCAAGAAGCCCUGCAGAGACCAGCAAGGAGGGCGCCCGCGACCAGGCAGUAGAGUUCUGCCUACAUCCUGGGCAGUCUGACUCAGUGGCUUGAAUCCUGCCUCUAGGGUCAAGGUCACCUUCUCUUCUCCACUGAAUCCUGCCACACGUCAAGUGUUUGGUGAGCUUCUGCCAGGCCACCCAUCUGCUGGAUUUUGUGAAGAACACAAGAAAGUGGAAGAUAUAGUCCCUGGUAUGGGGAGUCAGCACUCAGGAAAUAGUCAUUGAAUGAAUGAACAAAAACCGGGAGCCCCUUGAAGUCUGGAAUAUCUCCUGCCUGUCGAUCUCCAGCAUGGCACCGUGGCCUGAGCAGGGGUUCCGCCUGCACCGCCAUCACCUGCCGCUGCUGCACCUGCAGUUCAAGAACACCGCAGCCCCACCCCCACCGGGCAGCCUCCUGGGACACCAUCCACAGAGAUGCCAAGAUCACAUCCUGAACAGUGCCCCCUGGAGUUGUGCAGCACAGAGGCCUCCUGGAGGACCCAGGUCCUCAUGGAUUUUAUAUUUCAUGUCUAUACCUUUGAUAUCCUGUACAUUAUAGAUACUAAAUAACAUUUUCUGUAUGAAAAGACUGACUUGAAAUGUGGGGAGAGGAAAGGAAAGAGAGGAAAUACAUCUUC